UACGAAGGGGGCUAGCGUUGCUCGGAAUGACUGGGCGUAAAGGGCGCGUAGGCGGUUUUCGCAGUCAGAUGUGAAAUUCCUGGGCUCAACCUGGGGGCUGCAUUUGAUACGCGAGGACUGGAGUGGGGAAGAGGGUCGUGGAAUUCCCAGUGUAGAGGUGAAAUUCGUAGAUAUUGGGAAGAACACCGGUGGCGAAGGCGGCGACCUGGUCCUUGACUGACGCUGAGGCGCGAAAGCGUGGGGAGCAAACAGG
rnacentral:rRNA from 1 species